CCUACGGGAGGCAGCAGUAGGGAAUUUUGCGCAAUGGGCGAAAGCCUGACGCAGCAACACCGCGUGAAUGUUAAGCCCUUCGGGGUGUAAAGUUCUGUCAAUAGGGACGAAUUUUGACUGUACCUAUAAAGGAAGCACCGGCUAACUCCGUGCCAGCAGCCGCGGUAAUACGGGGGGUGCAAGCGUUGUCCGGAUUUAUUGGGUUUAAAGGGUGCGUAGGCUGUGAGGUAAGUCAGCGGUGAAAUGCCCCCGCUCAACGGGGUGAAGUGCCAUUGAUACUGCCUUGCUGGAAUGCGGAUGCCGUGGGAGGAAUGUGUGGUGUAGCGGUGAAAUGCAUAGAUAUCACACAGAACACCGAUUGCGAAGGCAUCUCACGAAUCCGCGAUUGACGCUGAUGCACGAAAGCGUGGGUAUCAAACAGGAUUAGAUACCCGUGUAGUC
rnacentral:rRNA from 1 species